rnacentral:rRNA from 1 species
GACGAACCGAGCGAACGUUAUUCGGAAUCACUGGGCUUAAAGGGCGCGUAGGCGGCUGUACAAGUCAAAGGUGAAAUCCCUCGGCUCAACUGAGGAACUGCCUUUGAAACUGUACGGCUUGAGGCCGGGAGGGGGUAGCGGAAUUCCCAGUGUAGCGGUGAAAUGCGUAGAUACUGGGAGGAACACCAGUGGCGAAGGCGGCUACCUGGACCGGUUCUGACGCUGAGGCGCGAAAGCGUGGGUAGCAAACAGG